UCACCUCCCAUCGCCGGCACGCUGACCCACCAGUUCAGAGCUGAGUCGAGCAAGUGAGCAACAGUCGCGGUUAUCAACCUGAAUCCGAGUACAGUUUCUUUCCUUCUCAUCAAUUUCUUUCCUCUCUCUCAUUCAUGCACUUAUGUUACUGUCAAUUUCAGCCAAGCAUCGAGCUUAUGUUCAGUGCUAAAACUUUUUUCUUGCUUUAUUUCAAAUCAUUUUUUUAUGACUAUUAGACUAGAUUUUUAAUUUUCAAAUGUGUAUUUCUGUGUAAAUAUUCAGUUCAGUUCAUUAUUUGUUUAUGUCUGUAGCGUAAUUAUAUUUAGAAAUGAUGAUUGUAUGCAUUUCUAUGGUGAUCCAUUUGGUGUAUUUAUAUAUUAGUGUGUUAUAGUUUAGUUAUAAUUAGAAAAAUGAAUGAUUAUUUGAUUUUAUGGUCUUUAUGUCUUUUGACCUUUUAUAUGAAUAUUUUUUUGUCCUAUUAUGGGUUCAGGUAUCCAACCCAUUUGUGUUGAGCUUAAAUAAAUUUAUUGGAAAAAAAAAAGGAAAAAGAAAAAGCAAAAGAUAAGAAAAUAAGAGGGUUUGAGUAGUAUGUGGGUAGUAUUAAUCAGAUUUGUAAUGGGUAUGGAUCUCAAAGGGUGAUUUCUAGUUAGGUUUGGGACAGAUUUAGAUAGUAGGGGUUUCAACAAAUUUGGAUGGCUUAAAUUUCGCAAGUAUGCUACCCACUGACUGCAGUACUUGUGGAUGGGGAUUGAGGAAUUCUAUAGUGCAGUGGAUGGGUUUUAUCAUUAGUGUCAAUUUGAUUUUAUCUAUUAUCUCUUUGUAUAUUUUCAUUACCUGUUUCAUGUAUUUAUAGCUUGUUCUUCUUUUGCUCUCUUUCUUUCUAUGUAACAACUAUCAUCUGUAUUGGCUUCCAUACAACAGUUUUUUGGAAUUGUACAAAUCAUCUGACAAGAUUCGAUGCUGGUGGAGAGAGCAAAAUUAAUUUUCUUUUGUUUAUUAUCUUGAAAUUUAAGUGUUGCUUGGACAGACACUCAGUAGUGAAGUUGAAUGGCGAUGGAUUUCAACAAUAGUGAGAUCUCAUCUCCUUCUCAUCCUAGAUGGAGAAAAGUGGCAUAUGGAGGGAUGCAACCUGGUUUUGAUGACAAUCACACUGAUGAUUCUUUUCUUGAAGAUCUGGUUAUGAAUGCUAGCGUUGUUAAACGGGACCUGCUGAAGGUGAUGCAAGACUCGGUUUCCAUCUCUCAGUAUCUGUGCAUUGUUGCACUCGUCGGCUUGGUUUGGACCUACACCCUGCAAUCUAUCCUUAGUGAAAAUUCCCUCUUACUUCUUGAUGUGAGCCUUCUUGGAUCAGGUUUCAUUGUUCUGCUUUUAACCAAAGAAAUGCUUUCUCUCAAUCUUCUUUUCCAUUAUAUCCUCAAUGUCUCUUUUUUUACAACGGGGUUAUAUGUGUUGGCUCCUAUUUAUCAUACUCUCACAAGGUCCAUAAGUUCAGAUUCCAUCUGGGCUGUAACUGUUUCACUUAUAGUACUUCAUCUUUUCCUGCAUGACUAUUCAGGAUCGACAAUAAGAGCUCCUGGGGCUCUAAAAAGUCCAAACUUGACUAGUUGUGUCUCUUUAAAUGCUUCUGUUGUUGCCUCUGUUUUUAUUGCAUCUCGCCUUCCAUCAAGGCUACAUGUCUUUGCCAUAAUGUUGUUUUCCUUGCAAGUCUUUCUUUUUGCUCCGUUUGUUACUUACUGCAUAAAGAAAUACUCCUUCCACUUUCAUCUUGUGUUUUCUUUUGGGUUGAUGGUUGUUACCUUGGCUUUUGUUUAUAUGUUGCACGAGUUGCUUUUUGUGUUGUUGUUGGCUAUAAUUAUCUUUGUAAGUGUGGUGUGUCCGUAUUGGCUCAUUAAAAUUCAGGAAUACAAGUUUGAGAUAAAUGGUCCUUGGGAUGAGGCUAAACUUUGUUUUGAUAUAACCGAUUAAGAUUCUUUUGGAUGCUAAAUAAAAAUCAAUGAAGUAUAUAAUUAUUUGUGGAAAUUUUCUAUUUCUUUUUCUUUCCUUUUAAUGUUCUUGUUUGAUGUAGUUUAAUGUUUAAUUUUCACAUAUAAAAUUUACCUGUGUUAU
rnacentral:misc_RNA from 1 species